CUCAGUUUCCCUCUUUGAGGAAGAAAGCAAAGUAUUUUCCUGGAUACCAAAUAUGCUGAGUUGGGACACUAGCUGAGGGACGCCUGUCUGUGUAACCCACACACGGGUGGUUGAGAGGAUCAAGGAGAGUAAUGACUGUGGACGUGCUUAGGAGACUGUAAGGGCCGACCUCGAGCAGAUUGCUUACCUUCUCUGGGCCUCAGUUUCUUCAUGUGUGAAGUGAAAGAUUGGUUCCAACCUGUGUUG